AUUGAACGCUGGCGGCAUGCCUUACACAUGCAAGUCGAACGGUAACAGGUCUUCGGAUGCUGACGAGUGGCGAACGGGUGAGUAAUACAUCGGAACGUGCCUAGUAGUGGGGGAUAACUACUCGAAAGAGUGGCUAAUACCGCAUGAGAUCUACGGAUGAAAGCAGGGGAUCGCAAGACCUUGUGCUACUAGAGCGGCCGAUGGCAGAUUAGGUAGUUGGUGGGAUAAAAGCUUACCAAGCCGACGAUCUGUAGCUGGUCUGAGAGGACGAUCAGCCAAACUGGGACUGGGACACGGCCCAGACACCUACGGGAGGCAGAAGUGGGGAAUUUUGGACAAUGGGCGCAAGCCUGAUCCAGCAUGCCGCGUGCAGGAUGAAGGCCUUCGGGUUGUAAACUGCUUUUGUACGGAACGAAAAGCCCUGGGUUAAUACCCUGGGGUCAUGACGGUACCGUAAGAAUAAGCACCGGCUAACUACGUGCCAGCCGCCGCAGUAA
rnacentral:rRNA from 1 species